rnacentral:tRNA from 1 species
UUUAUUUUGGUUUUCAAUUUAAGCUUUAUUUCUAUUAUAUUAUAAAAUUUUAUAUAAAUAUAAAUAAAA